GCAGGAAUGGCGGAAUUGGCAGACGCGCACGGUUCAGGUCCGUGUGGUAGCAAUACCGUGAGGGUUCAAGUCCCUUCUUCUGCA
rnacentral:tRNA from 1 species